rnacentral:pre_miRNA from 1 species
CUGGUUUUUACAGUGAUUUCCAGACAGAGUUAACAUCUGAGAUCAUUGUGAAAGCCGAUU